UACGUAGGGGGGCAAGCGUUGUCCGGAAUUAUUGGGCGUAAAGAGCGUGUAGGCGGCCAGAUAAGUCUGCUGUGAAAUCUCGAGGCUCAACUUCGAGCUGUCGGUGGAAACUAUCUGGCUAGAGUCCGGAAGAGGAGAAUGGAAUUCCUGGUGUAGCGGUGAAAUGCGCAGAUAUCAGGAAGAACACCCGUGGCGAAGGCGGUUCUCUGGGACGGUACUGACGCUGAGACGCGAAAGCGUGGGGAGCGAACAGG
rnacentral:rRNA from 1 species